CAAAGGUUUGGUCCUAGCCUUAUAGUUAAUUGAAGGUGAGAUUACACAUGCAAAUUUCCAUGAACCUGUGCAAAUUCCCUUAUAAUUUAUGUUAAACCUAAGGAGAAGGUAUCAAGCACAUAAUUAUAGCUUCUGACACCUAGCCCAGCCACUCCCCCACGGGAUUCAGCAGUGAUAAAAAUUUAGCAAUAAACGAAAGUUCGACUAAGCUACACCUUACAGAGUUGGUAAAUUUCGUGCCAGCCACCGCGGUCAUACGAUUAACUCAAACUAACUAAAUUUCGGCGUAAAACGUGUUAUACAUUUAUUAGAAUAGAAUUGAAACCCAACAAAUACGUAGAAGUUCAUCGUUCGGACCUAAAUCCACUAACGAAAGUAAUUCUAGUCAAUAUAUACACGAUAGCUAAGAUCCAAACUGGGAUUAGAUACCCCACUAUGCUUAGCCCUAAACUUAAAUAAUUUAAAUAACAAAAUUAUUUGCCAGAGAACUACGAGCCACCGCUUAAAACUCAAAGGACUUGGCGGCGCUUUACAUCCGUCUAGAGGAGCCUGUUCUAUAAUCGAUAAACCCCGUUCCACCUUACCAACUCUUGCUCUUUCAGCUUAUAUACCGCCAUCUUCAGUAAACCCUAAAAAGGAUACAAAGUAAACAAAAGAAUCAAACAUGAAGACGUUAGGUCAAGGUGUAGCCUAUGAGUUGGAAAGUAAUGGGCUACAUUUUCUUAAAAAAGAACAUUACGAUGUCCUUUAUGAAAUCUAAAGGAUCAAGGAGGAUUUAGUAGUAAAUUAAGAAUAGAGUGCUUAAUUGAAUGGAAAGCUCUGAAGCGCGCACACACCGCCCGUCGCCCUCCUCAAAUAAUAGUAAAAAAAAAUAAAUACAUAAUUUACAAAAUUAACUAUAUGAGAGGAGGUAAGUCGUAACAAGGUAAGCAUACUGGAAAGUGUGCUUGGAUUACU
rnacentral:ncRNA from 1 species